rnacentral:rRNA from 1 species
UACGGAGGGUGCAAGCGUUGUUCGGAAUUAUUGGGCGUAAAGAGCUUGUAGGCGGCGUCAUAAGUUGGACGUGAAAACUCCGGGCUUAACUUGGAGAGGCCGUUCAAUACUGUGAGGCUAGAGGGUGUCAGAGGGAAGUAGAAUUCCUGGUGUAGCAGUGAAAUGCGUAGAUAUCAGGAGGAAUACCCGUGGCGAAGGCGGCUUCCUGGGGCACCACUGACGCUGAGAAGCGAAAGCUAGGGGAGCAAACGGG